rnacentral:rRNA from 1 species
GCUAACUAGGUGCCGUCGGCCGAGGGAAGACGUGGGUGGCAAGCGGUGUCCGGAAUUAUUGGGCGGAAAGCGCGCGCAGGCGGUCCUUUAAGUCUGAUGUGAAAGCCCACGGCGCAACCGUGGAGGGUCAUUGGAAACUGGGGGACUUGAGUGCAGAAGAGGAAAGCGGAAUUCCACGUGUAGCGGUGAAAUGCGUAGAGAUGUGGAGGAACACCAGUGGCGAAGGCGGCUUUCUGGUCUGUAACUGACGCUGAGGCGCGAAAGCGUGGGGAGCAAACAGGAUUAGAUACCCGUGUAGUC